UACGGGGGGUGCGAGCGUUGUCCGGAAUCACUGGGCGUAAAGGGCGCGUAGGUGGUUUGAUAAGGGUGUGGUGAAAGCCCGGAGCUCAACUCCGGGUCUGCCGUGCCGACUGUCAAACUCGAGGGCUGUAGAGGCAGACGGAAUUCCGGGUGUAGCGGUGGAAUGCGUAGAGAUCCGGAGGAAGACCGGUGGCGAAGGCGGUCUGCUGGGCAGUUUCUGACACUGAGGCGCGACAGCGUGGGGAGCAAACGGG
rnacentral:rRNA from 1 species